CUUCUGCAUUAGAGGCCACUCCGUGAGGACUUCCUUGCUCUCCUCUGAGCAGUGGAAGGUUUUUAAUCACUCCUUGUGUAGCAGGCACUCCAGCCUGCUACCUGACAGCCAUCUAACUCCCUCCUCUCUGCUGGUAGAACAAGUUCACUCUUUCCUCAUGUGAUGAAGGUAAAUCCAGAUUGGUCUAGGCCACAUGGAUGGCCCCAGACCACUUCUGAGUGUUUAGUGGUGGGCAUGUGCCCCAGUUCUGACCAGUGAGACAUGAGGGGAGGUUGGCUUGGGAAUUUUGAAAGGUCUCUUCAUUCAUAGAGAGAUGCAUAAGAAACAGUUCUUUAUCUGUCCGCCUUGGCGUUGUUACAAGAGGAUGGGAUGCCUUUGACCUUUCUGUACCUAGGAGGAGAGCUUGCUGAUGCUCUGAGGAUAGCAGAGUAGGUGGAAAGAGCUUGAUGGUGUUGAGCUGCUGAAUUACCAAACUGGAAGCAGACUACAUGUGGACUUCUUUUUAUAUGAGAUGCCACCGUAAGUCAUCAACGGAGCAUGUUUUCCUUCUGGUACUGAUUGCUCAGAAGCUCAGAGUAUCAGUGGGUCUUCACAUCUCAGUUCAAAAGUCACCACCUCUGGGAAGCCUGUGUGAACAUCCUUGACUGCCUCAGCAACAACUUCUCUGCAGUAGCGCCAAUAAGGUAGUAUUCAUUCAAUUCAAAUGGCAAUUAUACACUACUAUAGUUAUGUGUCCCUGAAGGAGGGGGAUGCGUUCUGAGAAAUGAAUUGUUAGGGGACUUCAUCGUGUGAAUAUCGUAGGGUGUACUUACACAAACCUAGAGGGUACAGCCUACCACACACCUAGGCUACAUGGUAGAGCCUAUUGUGUCUAGGCUAUAAACCUGGACAGCAUGUUACUGUUGUGAAUACUGUAGGCAACUAUAACACAAUGCUAUUUGUGUAUCUAAACAUAGAAAAGGUAUAGUAAAAACAUGGUAUUAUCAUCUUUAAAAUAGGUUGUUUUGUUUAAAAAACAUUCAGUCAGUACCAAUGGUAUUAUAGUCUUAUGGGACCACUGCCACAGAUGCAGCCUAUAGUUGACUGAAAUUUCAUUAUGCGCAUAUGACUGUACUAUUGGUAAUAUUAAAAGCUGGUUUUUUAUGUGCUAGGCACUGUUCAAGUGCUUUACAUGCUCCUUUAAUCCCCUUGGUAAUCCUAUGAGGAAGGUUCUUUUCAUUAUUCCAUUUAGUAGGACAGCAAAUUGAGGCACAGAGGUUAAGCCAGUAGUCUAAGGUUACAUGGCUUGUAAGUGGCAGAGUCAAAUUGUAAACCCAGACAAUUUGGUUCUAGACUUCACACUCCAUGCCUGCCUCCAACUAGGGUCCACUUCCCUCUGCUCUCAUUGCCCUUGCACUUACUUUACUCUGGUGUCUCCUAUAUUUUAGAUUUCCAUUUAUUGGUUUCUCCCCCAACAGGUUUGCAGAAUCCCUGAAGGUUAAUAAUGUGUCUAGCUCAUUUUUGUCUCUCCAGGACCUAGUAAGGUACUUGGUAUAUCGUAGAUACUCAGUAAAGACACACACAGGAAAACACUGGAAUAGCAUUGAAAGGAUAGGAGCCAAGGCUAUCAACCCAGGCCUGAUAAAAACGCACCAGUAUAAAGAAUCUUCAAAUACACACUUUAACAAAGCAAGUUUUGACUUCAUCUUUUAAAUCCAGCCAGUUCCAAGGAGAUGGUCACUUCCUAGGCCUGUUCAAUACCAGAGGGAGAAGAAGCAACUCGGAGCAACUCGGAGCUUGGCAGACUUGCUCACACCUCCAAGUUCAUCAGUUUUAUUUGACUUUGCAUGUAGAACUAAGUAAUAACAUGCUUAAGCAAUAGCAUACCCAGUGUCUUGGCUGGCCAUUAUCAAGGACUGCCAGAAAAGACACAUGCUGAAAAAUCUCCUUUGGCUGCCUGGACAUGGCUUGGAUAUUUCUACCCUGGAGUUCCAGGAUAUAUUUCUUUCCAUUACUAUCUAAACUCCCCUCAGAUGGCUAUGGAAUUUGAACUUGUAGAAGAAUACUUUCCUCUAACAGUGAGAAAGGCAAAAAGUUUUAAGAUCUAGAACAUAUACAGAUCUCUAGGAAGAGAAGGAGCUCUCUCUAGCCUGGUCAGAGAUUGUAUUAGGAUUGUGGCCCAGCCUACCCACUUGCAGAUAAAUGCAGUCAGCCAUAACAUCCACCCUUUAUACUGCAUCUAGAAUGUAAAAGAAUCCACUAGCUUCCCAUGUGCAUGGACGGAUGUCAGCAUCACUUGUUCUUAACAACCAAACCAUAAAUCUGUAUUCUGACUCUUGCCAUAUCAUCUCCUUACAUGAUAAGAAAUAAUGACAUUAAUUUAUUUAUUAUUGAGAGGUAUACUGAAUGUAAAUCAUGUGCUAGGGAUGGUUGUAGGUGCUGGAGAUGCAGUGGUGAAUGAAGUAUAUUACAUUCUUGACUUGAGGCCUUUACAUUGUAAUCGGGGACAGCAAACAAACACGUAUACAAAUAAGUAAAUAAGAUCAUUUUAAACAAUAAGUUCUACAAUUUUUUUCAUACAUGCAAGGAGUGAAGUGACCUAAUGAAGAGUUUAACAAGGUCUCUUCAGCAGCUGUAGGGAGGAGUAUUGAAGA
rnacentral:lncRNA from 1 species